CUGCGCUCCUGUGGUUUUAUCCGGUUGGCUGCUGCGGGAGCGGGAUCGCGCCCGGGCGGCGGUGAUGUGUGUGUGUGUGUGACAGCUCAGAGCUGUCCACGUCAACACACCGAGCGAGCACGGCGGCGGCAGCAGCGAUGGACUCCGCGUCUCUGGAACCCUCCCUCUACACAGUCAAAGCUCUUUUCAUUCUUGACAAUGAUGGCAACAGACUUCUGUCAAAGUACUAUGACCCUGAGCUCUACCCCUCCAUGAAGGAACAGAAGAACUUUGAGAAGAACAUUUUCAACAAGACACACAAAGGCGACAAUGAGAUAGCGUUCCUGGAGGGGAUGACCAUCGUCUAUAAGAGCAGCAUAGAUCUCUUCUUCUACGUGGUGGGAAGCCCUCAGGAGAACGAGCUCAUGCUGAUGUCGGUACUGAACUGCCUGUUUGAGUCCCUCAGUCAGAUCCUCAGGAAAAAUGUGGAGCGGAGGUGUUUACUGGACAACAUGGAAGGAGUGUUCCUGGUUGUGGAUGAAAUCAUUGAUGGAGGGGUGAUUCUGGAGAGUGACCCCCAGCAGGUCCUACAGAAGGUCAACUACAGGCUAAUGUCAGAGCAAGCCUAUGGCUUCGUCCUGUUUGAUUACAUCACCGGUAAUGUAGAGGGACAAGCAGACAAGAGCCAGCUGCUGUAGACAGACAGACAGACAGACAGACAGACAGACAGACAGACAAACAGAGGGUGGAUGACAACCCAUUAUCUGAACAAAGCGUGGCCCAGGUUCUGCAGUCGGCCAAGGAGCAGAUCAAAUGGUCCAUACUGAAAUGACUCUGACUCAUUUAGGAUUCUCAAGAAGAACAUCUAGAGAACAUUACUAGUUUUUUUUUAUAUAGUAACAGACUAAAGGGAGAGUCAUUACAAUCUAGGCUGCUUUAUAUAGCAAUUAAUCAGCCAGUAAUAGGAUUUUAUUUCUAUGUGUAAUGGCAUUUUGUUACAUUGCAAUUAAUUUAUUUGGUUUUGAGAGUGAUGCUAUAAUUCAUAUUCAUAUAGAUUUGACAUUUAACAGGCCAAAUGACAUCAGGAAAAUUAAGGUAAUUAAGAACCAAACUAUGAAAAUACUGGAAAACUGAUUAGUGAUUAAUAAUCUAUUGCUUUUAUUUUGGUGGAGCAGGAUCUUCCACUCUUAUUUACCGUAAACCGAAUCUGACUGUGGGAUUUAUUUUUGCAUAUUGCUGAUGUGUCAAAUUUGAAAAUUACACUGUUUUAUAGAUGAAGAACUUUUCCCCAAAAAAACGUUACAUUAUGCUAAUAAUUUUUGAAAAAAAUAUUUUAGGAAAUUUACAUUCAUGUCAUAUCAGAAAAUGAGACACAGAAAAACACACACUGCUGCAGCAAAUAUCUGCUAAUUAAAGCUAAAAAACUGAAUAUCACAUAACAAGAAAAUGGUGUUUUUAAAAUUAAACCAUGUCAGUUACCAAGGGUGGUUUUAAAUUCACACACUGACAUUUGUGCACUGAAUUGCUCAGUUUAAUAAAGUUUUUUCAGACUGUGCUCCUUAAAUGACGUACCCGGUACAUGUGUCUUGUAAAGCUUAUUUAAAGGAAUGUAAUGGCACCUUAUGACACUAAACAAUGUUAGCACCAUGUGUAAGAAGAGGUGUAAGAUGUUAUGUCUGCACUGUCAGUAAAACCCUUAUUUUCCUUAAAGUGGAAUUGUCUCAUGAAGGUUAAAUUAGUAUCUGUACAUAUAAUUUGAUUUUAGGAGUCAAAGGGACCUUGAAGAUUAUGAAAUAUUAUAAAGAAUAAUGUCUAUUUUCUGAGAGUUAAAGAUGUUAAUAGAUAUUAAAUAUUUUCUUAGUUUAAAAGAUGAAAAAGCCAAAGACAUUUUGUUUACAUUUGGAUGUUGUGUAAAACAUUUAGCCUGAUGUGGGACGUUUUGUCUGUCCAACAUUUUGUGAAACUGAUAAUAAAACAUUUGUCCUUGA